UAACCAGUAAAUGUCUUUUAUUUUUUUAAGUGCAGCUUCUAAACACUUCAAAAAAAUGUACACAUAGAAGACAAGUCAUUCUGAGGAAAUAUGCAUAGUUUCAUGACUAUACAACACUAUAUGGAUGAUAGAAAAUUAAAAAACUAUCAUACAUCUGAUGUCACUCUGUCCCUCUGUCACUGUGGGUAAUGUGUGUGUGUGUGUGUGUGUUAAGUGAAUUAGGUGUGAAACUAUCAGGGAGCAUUUAGUCUCCAGUGCCAACAUUUUACAGAACUGCCACUUUCCUGGAGUCUCAGAAUUACAAUGUGUCAGGUUCUGAGAAAUCUAAGAUUCCAAAAAAUGAUUUAAUUAGAAUACCAUGAAGUAUUGUGAAAUACUAUAUAUUAAGACUUUAUAUAUAGGCUUCAUGAACAGAUUAGAGUGACUCGUGAAGGACCAGCACCACCUACUCUUGUCCGAUGGUUUGAGGAAUAUAUCUUCCAGAAUCCGGGAUUAAGAUUUAGGAGCUCAUUUUUAUUCCACCUCCUUUCCUGAAAGUCUGUCUUGCAGAAUUGACUAAAAAUUAAUCUUCACAUUAAUUCCUAAUUAUUUUGCAAUUCUUUUUGUCAGUUCUUCUUGACCUGUUUUUUUCUUCUUCUUUUCUGACCUCAUGACCCAGUCAGCAUUUUUUGUAUAAUGGUCAAGUCUUAACUUAUCCAUUUCUGUAUUGCAUUUGUGUUUGAUAUUUCUCAUGGGUAUUUCAUAAUUUUCGACUUUACAGUUUGAGUUAAAACUCUUUUUUAGCGCAUUCCAUCUGCAAAAGAAAACAUGCCUAAUAAUUCUACACACAUGAAUAUAAAGUGUUUUUCUCUUCCAGCUUUCCUGGACUAUUGUAUAGCACUUAUAAAUGAUUAAAUAAAAAUAAUGGUAGUUAUUAAGAUUGA